GUCUUUAGAUGCUCUGGUACUAUUAUCAAAAACAUCGGCUUAAAUCAAAUGUUUUACAUAAUAUGGAUGACUCUGCCUGUGAUAUGUGGAUGAUUGAAAAGCAUUAUCUGAUAAUUUCCUUGAGAUGUUAUAGACUUGUUCUGUUCUGUUAGUAAUUAUGUGACUCUCUGAGGAAGUUUAAUAGUCUAAAUCUUUUUUCCCCUCAAGAUAAAUUGUGCUUCUGCUUUCAAACGGCAACUUGUGUGACAACCAAAGGAAUAACAACUUCCUAUGAUUAAUUAAAUUGAUUAUUAUUAUUUUUGUUUAAACAUUUUGUUCAUAUAUUUUCAUAUACAUGUAAUACUUUUGUUACUUAAAAUUUUAUAAUUUAUUAUAUUAUUAAAGAUCAGUAUGUUUGUUUUGGUGUCACUAAAGUAUAAGAGUAGAAUUCUUUUAAGUAGGGCGGAAAAUAGUAAAAUCGUUAAGGAGUUUAGAGGGUAUAGUAAUCAUGGUCAAUUUAACUCAAAUCUUUUUGAGUCCAAAAAUCACUCCGAAAAUUUUAAAUAAAAAAAUAAAUAAAUAUAUAUAUAUAUAUAUAAUAAUGAUGUUUGCAAUUUUGACUAAAAUUAGAUAAUCUUAAUCAUAGGACUUAAGAUACUAUAAGGGCUCAACUGAAUCCAACAAAGGAGAGUAACUGUUGCAUAUUUUGACACAUUGAAGGGAGAGGUUCGAAGAUGCUCGAGCAACAGCCAGAGGUUUAUAUGCUUGUUGGUUGGAGGAGACCGAUGAAUCUUCUUCCUUGGUUGUCUUUUGUGAAGCUGUAUGGUUAGGUCUUAUAUGUUGUGCAUAAAAUUCAAGUCUGAAAAAUACAGGUUUGGAUAGUUCGGCUUCAUCCACUAACCAAGCAUAGCCCAUAUUAGACUGAUAAUUAGAUCAAUUGAAAUUGUUUUUUGCUUAAAUAUUUUCUCAUUCCAAGCCAGCCAAAUCGACCAUAGAAUUGCAUAGAAUAGUGUAUACCAUGUUAGUUUCUGGUUACUACUUACAAUAAGACUCUUCCAAGACAUAAACAGGGAUUUAACCGAACCUGGGAUAGACCAACUAAUGUUCCAUUGUCGAACACAUUUGUACUAGAUUUAUUGUGCAAAGGAGCAGUGCAGAAAGUGAUGAUCGAUAGUUUCUUUUUCGUCGCAGAAAGAGCAUUUGUUCACCAAGUUAACUAAACAUCUUCUUCUGUGUACAAAAUCAAAGAUAGGAAUACCUCCUUUUAGAACUUUCCAACAGAAUAUCUCCACGUUAGGUGAGGCGAUUUCCUUCCGGAUAUACUGGAUGAUUCGUAUUACAGUUUUAUGUAAAAUAUUGUAUUCGAAUCGAGUUUUAUAUAAAAAUUACAUAUCACAUUUGUAUCGACACGAAAAUAUAAAAUGUAAUUUUUUUAUUUUAUUAAACAUAUUUAUGAUUGUUUUUAAAAUUUUAAGUCUGUGUUAUCUUCAUUUAUUUUAUUCGUAUUAUUUUCGUGUCGUAUUAUCAUAUCGUAUUUCAAAUAAUCAGAUCUACUUCCAGAUGUAUUUUUGAUACGCUGAAUUAGGUACUAAUGUGGAAUCAAGAACUUUUUUGAAGGAUUUAGAGUUGAAAAGUCCAUUUGUUGUGUGCUGCCAUAUGAUCCUGUCAUGAGCUAUUGGGCAUAAAGUCACAGUGUUUAACAAGCUCGUGAGUUGGUUCCAUAAUUCCUGUUCCCAGUUAAACAAGUUUCUACGUAACUGACUUUCCCAACUCCAAGUUAUCCGAGUCCAAUUUCCGAUGUCUAAUAAGAAAAGUAAUCUUGGUGGGCAAGUUAAUGGUGUUAUAACAAGUAGAAGUUUCAAUUCAAAGAGAUAUGAGAAAAAAAAGGGGGGGGGGGGGGAGCUGUAAGUUUUUAGGACUGUUAGACACCUUGUGAGAGUGUUCAUAGAUGAUCGACCGAGAGUAUUUAUAAAUAAUCAAGCGAGAGUACUCAUUGAUGGCCAUGCAAGUGUGCUUACAGAUUGGGUUGAGAAUGAUUUGUAUUUGGUAAGUGUUUGUUCGGAUUAUGAUUGAUUGAGUAUUGAGUUAUGUAUUCAAUACUAUGUCAGCAUUCUAACCAAUGAUGUCUCAGCUGAAAGAUGUACUCUCGUGUUCUUGUACUAAAUUAUUCUACACAACAAAACCGUAUAGCAAAAGCAUAGAGCAUUUUCUUUGGGGUUGCUACCUUACUUGUACCAACCAGUAAGGAAGUAUCUCAGCAUAAAACAGAAACAACAUCCUAAGGCCUGUUGGAAAAGGCAAACAUACACCAAUGUGAAACAGAAGUAAACAAAUGGAUGAUGCAUGGUACUUAGAGAUCAUUCAACUUGACAAAGUGAAAUUAGAACUAAUAAACACAAACACUGCUUCGCCAUGUUUACAGAAUUUUGACUAGGAUAAUAUGGCAAUUAUACAAGAAGACAAUGAACAUAGAUAAUAUUGCAGAGUACGGAUAAUAGAUAAAAUAAAAACUUGAGUCUCACAAUUUGAUAUUCUUGAUAUAUUUUUAUAUUCUUAUAGCGAAAGAAUACGUAAAAAAGUUUUAUUUCUUGGUAAAAUAUAUAAAAGGAUAACGUGAGACAUAUAUAUUAGAGAUUAAUAUGUUGGAUAUCUAAAAGCAACUAAUUGAUUUGAAAUAUAUUAUUUAAAUCAUCAAUUCUUUGAUUUUCUUUAAUCUCUUGAUAAUUGUAUAUAUUCAAAAAAUUUAAAGAAAUAUUAAUAUUUCCAAUUUUGUUAAUCAUUGUUAUUUUUUUAAAUAUAAAUAAAAUUUUCUUUAAUGAAAGAAAAUCUUCGGUUCAUAUGUUAAAUGUGUUUGGAUUAAUAGAAGUGUGAUCUACAAGGUUAUGUAUGUAUCAAACAAUACACAUGACAUUCGCUCAGAUAUGAAAGAGCUUUGCUGUCUUUCUAUGAUUAAAACUUUAAACAACAAAUAAAGAGCAUUGCAAAUUGUUUUUUAUAAGUUUUAUGAUUGAAAUUAAUGGUUUGCAAUGUUGUGUAACUUAAUGCAUGAAUUAUUUCAUACCAGUAUGUGCCUUUUUUUUUGUUUCUAUAAUAAAAUUUCAAAUGUCAUUGUCCAUAUAAAUAAUAUUUUACCGAUGAUAUUAUCAUGGCCACAUUACCGCCAUCUACAAAUAUUAAAAUUUAAUUUCCUUCAAUUGUUUAGUUAGGAAUACACAAAUCAAUCAUAACUAAAAAAAAUAAAAUUAAUACUAUUUCUUACUAACAAUGAACUUAGUUUUUGGUUAAAGGAGGGAAAGGGUCAACUUGUUCAGUAAAAACCAAAAAGAUUUGGUCAACAACGUUGGUAGUUUUGUGCGGGUUCCAGAAUGAAUUGUUAAAAAAACUAAAUUGUUAGCACAGCUGUGAUGGAGCUAUUUUAAUUUAAAAGGCAUUAUUGUUCAUUGAAAAUGAUGUUGCAGGACAAAGAAGAAUGUUUUAUUUGUUUUCAAAGGAUGAAUAUCUAAUUGUCAAAAUCUUCUUUUGAGGUCAAAUUUUGAAAAUAAUUUUAUGUGUGACAAAUUUGCAAAAAAAUGACUCCAACUGUGCCACACCAUCGUUUGAAUGGGUUCCAGAUAGAGCUUAAAAUAAUUUAUUUAAAAAAAUAGAACAUAAAUAUUUGAUAAAAUAGAACAUAAUUUAUUUAAUCUUGAUGGGUUCUAUUUUUUGGGUUGGAGCUAUUGAUUGCUUCUUAUCUUGCUUUUUGAUUUUAUAGGUUUAAGGUUUGGUGGGUUGAUGAGUUUGCUUUGAGCUUUUCUGAUGGCUGUUGGGUCUUGUUGUAAGCUGUGUGCUAAGAAUGUCAUCGACUCUGUUUUUGCUUGUUUGAUGAUGUCCUGCUCAAUUUGUUGAUGGGUUCGAUUCUAGGUUGACUUGUUGGUAUGGUUGUUUGGGUUGGGCUUUGUUGCUUGUUCGGCUCAGUGAUUGUUUGUUGAUUGAGUGCUUUCUGACUUUGGGUUCUGCCGAUUUGCUGUACUUGUUUUGUCUUCUUUUUCAAUUGAUCUUCGCUGCUUGUAAUGGUCUUGUUGAAUUGUUGGUUUAGCCUUGCUGGUUAUUUUGAUGGACUCUGAUAGUGAAUUAUUAUUGUCCGGGCCUAUUCUAAUUGCCUCUUGCUUCCUUUUUUGUGAUUACAGAUUUGAGUCCUUAUAUAAGGAUUUAUGCAUUUUUAAUUUGGAAAAAUCAAUUUCACUAAGUUUGUGAUUUGAUUUGAUUUGAUUUUUCUGUCAAUUAAUUUUUCGUGAAUCAAGCCCAAGUUUUCCUUACUCAAAUGAUCUAUAAAUCUCAACAUUUAAUUCAAUCAAAGACCAAAUCCAGGAUAUUUGCAAGAUCCCACAUUUUGUUCUAUUUUUUUUUUUUUUUUUUAACCUUGACUUUGAACCUUUUUUUUUUACCAAAAUAGACCACAAACUAAAAAUUAAAACUAAAUUAAAGAAAGUUAAAUCUAAAUUAAAAUUAAAAUUAAAAUCAAAUUUAAUAUUGAAAUUGAAAUUGAAAUCAAAUUACAACUCCAAAUUAAAAAUUUUAGGCUUUUAUCCUAUUGGGCCUAAAGCUUUCCAAUCGAGGCCCAAUCUAUGGUCAAAGGCCCAUUCCAACUCAAAAAAAAUUUAGGAAAAAAUGGUGCAUCUACAAUUAUCUAUGAAGUUAUAUUAGCAAGUUAUGUAAAGGAAAUUCAAAUUUCUAUCGAGUUUUUAUUUAUUAAAAAAUAAAAAAGAGAUGUCUCAUAAGUAUGUGAUUUUUUAUGAUGAUUUACCCAUAAGAUAAGUCUAUGUUCAAUAAUUGAUCUUCAAAAAAGGUAUUUAUAUUUUAUAUGAGAAAUGGCCUUUUUUUUAUAUCUUUCGCAAAAAUGAAAAUUCUCCAUUUACUACCCUUUUAAGCUUAUUAUAUUUUUUUUAAAAAAAAAACUUUAACUAAAAAUCACCCUUAACCAUGGAGGGCAAAUUUUAGAAAAGAUUUGUUUGCAAAAAAAAAAAAAAAGACCCCAAAAGUUUUUAAGGACGAAGAUUGGAAAAACCCUUAUAUUAAAAGAAAGUUGAAUGCUACAAAUGAUCUAAGCGUAAAGUAGAAAGAACUCUUUAUGAGUAAAUUCUUUUCAAAAGAGAAAAUAAUGAAGAAAAACAAAUGUGAUGAAAUAAAAAAAUGCAAAAGAAAAAGGAAAAGGAAAUGUAAAGAAAUGGGGCAAAACACCAAGGUGUUUUAAAUAAUGAAAUAAUCAUUUGGUUUACACCCUUUCAAACAUAUGUUUUGUGCUUAUUUUUUUUUUUUUUCAUAACCCUUCAACUUUGCCUACGUUUUAUGCCUUAAAAAUUCAUUUUGAUCAAAUAUAAAUGCUUGAAAAUUAUUAAUUUUAAUUUUAAAAAACCUAUAACUAGAUUGAUUUAAUUUUUAAUUAUAAUUUGAAUAAUUUUAUUAUUUGAAAAAAUUUAAAAUUAUCUAAUUAUAAUUAAAAGAGGCUAUCAUACUUUUGUAAAAGGCUAUCCUACAUGUCAUUCAAAAAAAUUAUCUACAUAAGCAUCCAUAUAACAAACUUUAUGAGAUGUAUAUGUAUAUUGUAAUAUAAUAUAUAUGAUUUCUAUAGGUUUAUACAAAAUGGUUAAGAUUUGGUCGUGUUCUGGUUUCUUUUUUUAAUUAAGGUGAUAAUUUUUUAAUUUAAUUAUUUCUUUGGAUGAGGGUUCGAAAUGAGCUAGAUUUUUUUUAUUGUGACUUUAAUUUUUGUUGUUGUGUGUACUAUAGUGAUGGAACUUGGUUGUUCUAUGUAAGGAACUUCGAAGAACUAUUAUACUUUAGUGAAAUGACAUUCAUUACAUGUUAUCUCUAAUGAUUUUCGAAGUUGUCUACACAUAAAAAUUCUUGGGAUAAGAAUUCAAAUCGAGGUUUGAGACUCUAAAAUUACAACUACUUAUGGCAUAAUCGAUAAAAGCUAGCAAAGAAAAUUAUUAAACUAAUCAUAGAGCAUAACUAAAUAUGAUAGGAAUUUCAAGAGAAAAAAAAAAUGGAAAGAAUAGAUAUACCAUGUGAAACUAACCAAAAGUAAGCUUGAUGAUAGUAGAACAUUUUGCACCUCCAUUUAAUCUGUUGUCCAUUACAAAUAUCAAAACAAAAGAAAAAGUUCAACUUGAUAAAACUUUAAAAUUUUAGAAAGAAUAAUACUUUUACUAAAAAUAACAAGGGAAAUUUUAUUCAAUAACAAAAUUUUGAAGAAUAAAACAUCUGUAGAGAAAGAAAAAGUUCCACAACUUUUUUGAUAAAAAAAUUAAAUAAAUCAAAUUGGUAUACAACUUUAUUAUAUUAAUUAAUCAAAGCAUCAUUUUUAUUUUAUACAAAUAGGGAAUAUUGAAUAAAUAAUCAAUUAAAAGAUAAAAUAUAUUACUUGAUUGAAUGAAUAAUCCAUGAAAAAAUAAAAGGUCUAUAGACAACACCAGUAAAAAUAUAACAAUUUAUGUAUUUUUGUAGUUUUGUACAAUAUAUGAAAAAACAAAGUCAAAAUUAAACUAAAAGAGCUUACCUAAACCAAAUAGAAAAGAAAAAAUAAAUCCACCUUAAAUGGAAGACCUUAAAUGGAUAAGUAAUAAAAAAGUAAUGCUAAAGUUUGUGAGAAUAUAGAAUAUUGUUUCAAAAAUAAGUUGAAUAAAAAGCCAUAAAAGAAUCAAGCUAGAUAAUUUUAUUUAAAUCCAUAAAUAUAUUUAAAUAAUAAUUUUAUCUAUUUAAUUAUCUUAUAUUUAAUUAAUUUUUCAUUUAAAUUUUGAUAACUUUAAUCCAUAAAUAUAUUUAAAUAAUAGUUUUAUCCAUGGAUAACAUCUAAUCAGAUAAUAAUAUUUAAAUUUUGGUGUUUUAUACCUUUAUCUUUCAUAGAGAAAUAUCUAAUCAAAUAAUUAUUUGAUAAUUCUAGACUCAAGAAAUUUCAUCAAAGUGACUAACAUGGCUUGUUAGAGUUUAAAAGUUAUAUAACACAAGUUUUUUUCUUAAUGUUAUUUAAUUGUGCAUUGCGAUUUCAUUUGCAUAAAUAAAUGAAACAAAUUUAUUUAGUUUAUUUUCUUAUUUGUUUUUAAAUGAUAAUAAAAAAAGAUAUUACCUUAAAUGGGUUCUAAUUAAAUUUAUUACUAUUUGAGAAUAGAUAAAAGAAAUAUUACAGCUGAUAUGAAAAAAAAAAAUCCUACCCAAUGGAGUGAAUAAUAUGUUUAGUGAAAUAGUACCUAUCAUAAAAAAAAAGUAUGUUAGUUCUUAUAGUAGGAAUAGACUAAUAAAAAGCGAGAUUAAAUUAAUAGUGAAAAAAAUAUGUUUAGCUCAUAUAUUUCGUGGGACAUUGGGAAAACUAUAUAACUAAGAACUAUCAACAAUGAGAGCUUUUCUGAAGUUGUUUUGGUAUUUAUAUAUAUAUAUAUUUAAUAUUUUCUUAAAUAUUAAUAUUAAAAGUCUAUGACAAUAUUGACUUAAUUUUAAAUUUUAUUUUAAUUCAGAUAUAUUUAAAUAUAUUUUUUAAAACUAGUGGAUUAUUUAUUAAAUUAUUUUAUCUCUAACAAUAUAUUUAAAAUAAAAAUAAUACAAUAAUUAUUUAUAAAAAUAUUAAAGAUAUUAAAUAAUAUUUUAAAAAUUAUGAUAAAUUUAAAUAAUCAUAUUAAGUGCAAAUAAAUUGAAAAAGAUAAAUUACUUUUAAAUUGAGAUGAGGUCAUGUAUAAGAGAAAUAAAUUUUAUUAUAAUUUAAAUUAGUUUUUGAUUAAAUUUUAAAAAGUUUAGAUAAUUUAAUAAUUUAUAAAAAAUAUUUUUAUAAAUAAUUUAAAAUUAAUAAAUAUAUUACGUGUCAUCAUAAUAAGAAGUUUUAAAAAUUAUUUUAUGUGUCAAAAAAAGAAACUGUCUACAUAAGUAUCUAUGUUAACAAAUGCUAUAUGCUAACUAUAUAUAUUAUAAUAUAAUUUAUGUAUGUUGACACCAUUUUAUUUAUCUAUUUAUUUAUUUACUUAUUUAUUUUUCUUUUAUUUUAUUUUUUUUUUCUAGCAGCGGCUCUGACAACCACCAGUAGCCAUUCUGAUAGUCGAUGACUGCCCUAAUCGUAGGUGAUCAAAAUCUCAGAAAAUAUGAGAUUUUAAUUUUUUUUCUAUAAAUAGAGCUGUAAAAACACCACCAGAAAAAAAAGCUCAAAACCCUAAAAAAAAAUCUGCCAGAUUAAAAAAAAGAUAAAUUUUUAUCAAAAAAAAAAAUUCAAAGCAAAUCAAACACAUACAAACACAGAAACAACAACCUCUGGAUACGAGGACCACAACACCAAACAAAAAACAAUACAGACACAAAAAAUUUUUGGCCAAAUCUUUUAGGUUAGAUUUGUGUCAUUUGGAGCCACUUUUUCACAAAAACAGGCUUGGAUCUGGACUUAGAAGGCUUGAUGAAUCUUGGGAUUUUUCAAUGACCGACAAACGAUGGCCGGCACGAUGGAGUAGUGAUCGGAUUCUGAGUUGCUAGAAGGAGAAAGAGAAAGUAUGAGAGGAAGAGAGAGAAAGAGGAAGAAGAAAACAAAAAAAAAGCUAAUUGGGCCUUUAAAUAGCCUUUCAAAAUGACGUUGUUUAGGAGAGAAGCAAAACGACCCCGUUUCGAUCCCAGAGGAUCCGCACGUCGACUAGCAAUCCGACCCAGGAUCUGCGCACUUAACCCAAUAACCCGUUCUCCCUUUUAUCCCUUGAUCGGUCCAGUUGAACCGAUCUAGACUAGACUAGACCGAUGCCAAAUCACUAAACUUGAACCAAUCGGAUCAAACCGGAUUGAACCGCUGAACCAGCCCAGACUGGCGUUGACCGGACCAUUGACAGGUUCAGUUCAGGUAAAAAAAAAUUUUUUUUAAAUUUUUUUGUAUAUUAUUUUAAAUUUUAUUAUUAAUAUUCAUGCAUAUUAAAAUAUUUAUAUCUAUUAGAAUAAAUUUUUGUUGAAAUAAGUAAAAAUAUAUGAUAAAAUAUAUAAUAAAGUUUUUUUUGAUAAUUUUGUUAAUUUUAGAAUAAAUCUUAUAAAUUAAUAAAAAAAAUGUAAGAAAAAAAUUUUUUGUCCGACUAUGAGAUUCAAAGAUACUCCGAGUAAUGAUAUCUAUGAAAUCUCUAGGUGAAAUUUUUUUUUUAAAUACUACCAGUGUAUUGAAAUAUUUAUACCAAAUUUUUAAUAUAAUAAUUUUCUUUCUAUUAAAAUAAACAAAAUUAACUAAUUUAUUGAAAAAUAAAGUGAUAAAGGAAUAAUAAUAAAAAAUAAGAAAAAAGAAAAUUUUAUCCAAUGAUAAGAUUUUUAAAAGUAUUUCAAGUAGUGAUACUUUACGAAAUCUUUAGAUGAGAAUGUUUUUUUAAAUAUUACCAAUGUAUUGAAAUAUUUAUAAAAAAAAUUUCAAUAUAAUAAAAAUUCCUAUUUUCUUUUUUUUUAAAAUAAAAAUAUUAAUAAAACAAUUAAUAAAAUUAAAAAAAAAAGAAUAAAAUGUGUGCAUCAAUAUGGUAACAUUUUACAUUGUAUGCAUGAUAUAGUUUUUUUACAAAAAGUAAAUUUGAGCCUCAAAUGAUGAGAUUUUAAGGUAUUCCGAGAAACAAUGCCUAAGAAAUCUCUAGGUAAUAAAAGGUUCUUCUAAUGUUACUAAUGUACUGUAAUAUUUUAAGAAUUAUUUCGAUAAAAGAGUUUUAAUUUAUUUUUCUCAAAUAAAAUUUGAGCACUAAAAAAUUUCCAACAAAUGAAAAAAAGCAAAAAAAUUAUUUUUCAAACAUAAAAAAUAAGACUUUUUAUAUUAAAAUCAAUGGACAACACAUAGUUAAUUAGUACCGUUUUAAAUGGAUGUUGUGAGGGUGCUAAUUCUUCCCCACACGUAACGACUCCCGAACCCAAACCGUUACACAGAUCCUAAAAUUAUCCUCUUAAUAAAUUUUAAUUAAUUUUAAAAUUUUAUUAAAAUGAUAUAUUUUAAUAGGUGAUCAAUCACACAUAACAAAAAAAAAUUGGUGGCGACUCCGUUAUAUUUUAUUUCAUUUUCAAAUUCAUCAGACGGAUACAAAAUCGUUACGACAAUAUAUAUUAUGAUUUAUUUAAAAAGAUAAUAUAUUUAAAUUUAAAUUUGUUACAAACAAUUUAAAAAUUAUUUACAUAGUGAUAUACAAAUAAACAAAUUUAUUGAAUAAUUUUUUAUAAGUAAAAAAAUUUUAAAAGAUAAUGUAUUAUCACAUUUGAAAAUCUUAAAUUUUAAAAAUAUAUUUCUAGAUUAUUCAAAAAUUCAUUUAAUUUUAAAAAAAAUAAUGUAUCUAAAUUAUAUCUUAUUGUCAACAAUUUAGAAGUUUUCUAAUGUAAAUAUUCAGGUAAGCAAAUUUUUGUAGUAAUUUUUGAGGUGUUAAAUAAUAAAAUUAUUUAUAUAAACAUCCAUAUAAACAAUAUUUAAUUGAUAUUUCUGCAUUUUAUAAUAUAAUAUAAUAAUAUAUAUAAAUAUAUAUAUAUAUAUAUAUAUAUAUAUAUAUAUAUAAAUAUAUAUAUAUAUAUAUAUAUAUAUGAUUUGAUGCCUGAUUGUGUAUUUAAAAAAACCUACUAUAAAUACUCCCAAAUAUUCUAAUCUAUGUUCAACCAGCCCUAGAACUGGAUUACAGCAUCAGAUCCUCUCAAUUUGUUGGAAGAAAUUUUUUUUUUAAAAAACAAAGAGAUGCAGAUCGUUGUGAAGACGCCUAAUGAGAAGACUAUUACCCUCGAGGUUGAGAGCUCUGAUAGUAUCGAUAAUGUCAAGGCCAAGAUUCAGGUUUUUCUUUUUGCCCUCUUCGUUUUUCAUUUUGCUAUUUUUUAUCUGGGUUUGGUUUGUGAAGGAAGUUGACUUCUUGUUCGAUGGAUGAGAAAAGGAAGGAAACGAUAAAGGAAAUCAACUAUGAAUAUGUGUGAAAGGGAAACUGCAGUGACGGUUUAGGAAUUGAUUUUCUUGGUUUCUUUAUUUAAAUAUUGUACUGUAGAAUUCUUGGUUGACUUCUGUUUGGUUGACGAGAAGAGUACAGAAAGGAAAACUAAAGUUUAAAGAAAAAGAAUUCGAACUUAAAUUAUUCGAUGGGUAUAUGACAAAUAUAUUUUUAUUAAUUUUUGGGUUCCUUUUAUGCUAAAAUUUUGAAAUUAAUAGUGCUUAAAUUAUGCUGUGUCGUUCCAAGUUUGGACAAAUUAAUUAGAUGCUGUGAAGCCUGAAUUGAAAUUUUCUAGGAUUGGAAAUACUUUGAAUUCUGAAGUUUCCAAUGUAAAAAAUUUACUCAGAUUUUGUCUAAGACGGGAUUAAAUGGUUGCAAAAAUUGUGAUGGUCACCCAUGAUUAUUGUAUGAUUGAGUCUAAUGAUAAUAAAAUUGUCAAGAAUUUCUCCAAUUUGUUUUUGUUUAUUUUUGUCCGGUACAUUGGAGGUCGUAGCCUGGAAUAGCGGAAUGGGUUGUAGGAGUUGGGAUUCAAACUUUAGAUCUACUGAAUAUUACCUCUUAAAAAUGAUUUAAUGAAUUAACUGAGCAAAACACUAGGUCUAUUUGUGCUUUGUUUACUUUCAUAUUUGUACUACAUGGAAAAGCUUGAGGGGGUUGUGUCAGACUGCCUUUUCUUUCUCUUCCUGUAAUUAAACGUUUGCUGAUGGUGGACUAAGCUUUUACGGGACAAGGAAGGAAUUCCUCCUGAUCAGCAGAGAUUGAUUUUUGCUGGCAACCAGCUUGAAGAUGGUCGAACUCUGGCAGAUUAUAACAUCCAAAAGGAGUCUACUCUUCACUUGGUUUUGAGGGUUAGGGUAGGGACCAUGAUCAAGGUCAAGACUCUCACUGGGAAAGAAAUUGAGAUUGAUAUAGAACCCACUGAUACCAUUGAUCGGAUUAAGGAACGUGUUGAAGAGAAAGAAGGAAUUCCACCUGUGCAGCAAAGGUAUUUCUACUGUUCUUUGGGUUUUUUCUUUUGAAAUGGACUUGUCUAUGUUGCAUGAUUAACAAACUAACUCCUUUUACAUUAUUAUUUUGGUUUGUGUUAAUGCCUUGAAUGCUCCUAAAUUAUAGUGAAAUGUUUAAUGUGGUACUUGAAUUUUAAAAAUCUCUAAUGUGGUACUUAAACUAUGAAUCUAUUAACUAAUGUGGUACUCACCCCUAAUGUGACUAACUUCAAAUGAUGACAUAAGGCGUAUAAAAAAUCCUUCAAGUACCACAUUAGUUAACAAAUUCAUAAUUCAAGUAUCACAUUAGAGAUAUUUAAAGUUCAUUAUCACAUUAAACAUUUCACUAUAGUUUAGGGAUCAUUCGUGACAUUAUCCUUUUUAGUUUAAAUUCUGUACAAUAUUCUCCCUGAAUGAUGCCAUUUGAGUAUAAAAUGCUUGGCUUUAAUGGUUCACUUUUGUAAUUGUUGACACUUGAUGGAUCCAAUGUAUAAUCUUUUAGUUGCCUUGAUAUCUUAUUUCACUGAUUUGUCCCAUGGUUGCAGGCUCAUCUAUGCUGGGAAGCAGCUUGGAGAUGACAAGAUGGCUCGUGAGUACAACAUUGAGGGUGGCUCUGUACUUCAUAUUGUGCGCGCACUGAGAGGGGGAAGUCUUUAGAUGCUCUGCUACUAUUAUCAAAAACAUCGGCUUAAAUCAAAUGUUUUACAUAAUAUGGAUGACUCUGCCUGUGAUAUGUGGAUGAUUGAAAAGCAUUAUCUGAUAAUUUCCUUGAGAUGUUAUAGACUUGUUCUGUUCUGAUAGUACUUAUGUGACUCUCUGAGGAAGUUUAAUAGUCUAAAUCUUUUUUCCCCUCAAGAUAAAUUGUGCUUCUGCUUUCAAACCGGCAACUUGUGAGACAACCAAAAGGAAUAACAACUUCCUAUGAUUAAUUAAAUUGAUUAUUAUUAUUUUUGUUUAAACAUUUUGUUCAUAUAUUUUCAUAUACAUGUAAUACUUUUGUUACUUAAAAUUUUUAUAAUUUAUUAUAUUAUUAAAGAUCAUGUAUGUUUGUUUUGGUGUCACUAAAGUAUAAGAGUAGAGUUCUUUUAAGUAGGGGCUGAAAAUUGGUAAAAUCGUUAGGAGUUUAGAGGGUAUAGUAAUCCAUGGUCAAUUUAACUCAAAUCUUUUUGAGUCCAAAAAUCACUUCGAAAAUUUUAAAUAAAUAAAUAUAUAUAUAUAUAUAUAUAUAUAAUAAUGAUGUUUGCAAUUUUGACUAAAAUUAGAUAAUCUUAAUCAUAGGACUUAAGAUACUACAAGGGCUCAACUGAAUCCAACAAGGGAGAGUAACUGUUGCAUAUUUUGGCACAUUGAAGGGAGAGGUUCGAAGACGCUCGAGCGACAGCCAGAGGUUUAUAUGCUUGUUGGUUGGAGGAGACCGAUGAAUCUUCUUCCUUGGUUGUCUUUUGUGAAGCUGUAUGGUUAGGUCUUAUAUGUUGAGCUUGAAAUUCAAGUCUGAAAAAUACAGGUUUGGAUAGUUCGGCUUCAUCCACUAACCAAGCAUAGCCUAUAUUAGACUGAUAAUUAGAUCAAUUGAAAUUGUUUUUUGCUUAAAUAUUUUCUCAUUCCAAGCCAGCCAAAUCGACCAUAGAAUUGCAUAGAAUAGUGUAUCCCAUGUUAGUUUCUGGUUACUACUUACAAUAAGACUCGUCCAAGACAUAAACAGGGAUUUAACCGAACCUGGGAUAGACCAACUAAUGUUCCAUUGUCGAACACAUUUGUACUAGAUUUAUUGUGCAAAGGAGCAGUGCAGAAAGAGAUGAUCGAUAGUUUCUUUUUCGUCGCAGAAAGAGCAUUUGUUCACCAAGUUAACUAAACAUCUUCUUGUGUGUAAAAAAUCGAAGAUAGGAAUACCUCCUUUUAGAACUUUCCAACAGAAAAUCUCCACUUUAGGUGAGGGGAUUUCCUUUCGAAUAUAUUUGAUAAUUCGUAUUACAGUUUCAUGUAAAAUAUUGUAUUCAAAUUGAGUUUUAUAUAAAAAUUACAUAUCACGUUUGUAUCGACAUGAAAAUAUAAAAUGUAAUUUUUUGAUUUUAUUAAACAUAUUUAUGAUUUUUUAAAAAAUUUUAAGUCCGUGUUAUCUUCAUACCUUUUAUUCGUAUUGUUUUAUUAUCAUAUUAUCAUAUCGUAUUUCAAAUAGUCAGAUCUACUUCCAGAUUUAUUUUUCAUACGCUGAAUUAGAUACUAAUGUGGAAUCAAGAACUUUUCUAAAGGAUUUAGAGUUGAAAAGUCCAUUUGUUGUGUGCUGCAAUAUGAUCCUGUCAUGAACUGUUGGGCAUAAAGUCACAGUGUUUAACAAGCUCGUGAGUUGGUUCCAUAAUUCCUGUUCCCAGUUAAACAAGUUUCUACGUAACUGACUUUCCCAACUCCAAGUUAUCCGAGUCCAAUUUCCGAUGUCUAAUAGGAAAAGUAAUCUUGGUGGGCAAGUUGAUGGUGUUAUAACAAGUACAAGUUUCAAUUUAAAGAGAUAUGAGAAAAAAAAAGGGGGGGGGGGGGGAGCUGUAAGUGUAUAGGACUGUUAGACACCUUGUGAGAGUGUUCAUAGAUGAUCGACCGAGAGUAUUUAUAAAUAAUCAAGCGAGAGUACUCAUAGAUGGCCAUGCAAGUGUGCUUACAGAUUGGGUUGAGAAUGAUUUGUAUUUGGUAAGUGUUUGUUCGGAUUAUGAUUGAUUGAGUAUUGAGUUAUGUAUUCAAUACUAUGUCAGCAUUCCUACCAAUGAUGUCUCAGCUGAAAGAUGUACUCUCGUGUUCUUGUACUAAAUUAUUCUACACAACAAAACCGUAUAGCAAAAGCAUAGAGCAUUUUCUUUGGGGUUGCUACCUUACUUGUACCAACCAGUAAGGAAGUAUCUCAGCAUAAAACAGAAACAACAUCCUAGGGUCUGUUGGAAAAGGCAAACAUACACCAAUGUGAAACAGAAGUAAACAAAUGGAUGAUGCAUGGUACUUGGAGAUCAUUCCACUUGACAAAGUGAAAUUAGAACUAAUAAACACAAACACUGCUCCGCCAUGUUUACAGAAUUUUGACUAGGAUGAUAUGACAAUUAUACAAGAAGACAAUGAACAUAGAUAAUAUUGUAGAGUAGGGAUAAUAGAUAAAAUAAAAACUUGAGUCUCACAAUUUGAUAUUCUUGAUAUAUUUUUAUAUUCUUAUAGCGAAAGAAUACGUAAAAAAGUCUUAUUUGUUGGUAAAAUAUAUAAAAUGAUGACGUGAGAGAUAUAUAGUAGAGAUUAAUAUGUUGGAUAUCUAAAAGCAACUAAUUGAUUUGAAAUAUAUUAUUUAAAUCAUCAAUUCUUUGAUUUUCUUUAAUCUCUUGAUAAUUGUAUAUAUUCAAAAAAAUUUAAAGAAAUAUUAAUAUUUCCAAUUUUGUUAAUCAUUGUUAUUUUUUUAAAUAUAAAUAAAAUUUUCUUUAAUGAAAGAAAAUCUUCGGUUCAUAUGUUAAAUGUGUUUGGAUUAAUAGAAGUGUGAUCUACAAGGUUAUGCAUGUAUCAAACAAUACACAUGACAUUCGCUCAGAUAUGAAAGAGCUUUGCUGUCUUUCUAUGAUUAAAACUUUAAACAACAAAUAAAGAGCAUUGCAAAUUGUUUUUUAUAAGUUUUAUGAUUGAAAUUAAUGGUUUGCAAUGUUGUGUAACUUAAUGCAUGAAUUAUUUCAUACCAGUAUGUGCCUUUUUUUUGUUUCUAUAAUAAAAUUUCAAAUGUCAUUGUCCAUAUAAAUAAUAUUUUACCGAUGAUAUUAUCAUGGUCACAUUACCGCCAUCUACAAAUAUUAAAAUUUAAUUUCCUUCAAUUGUUUAGUUAGGAAUACACAAAUCAAUCAUAACUAAAAAAAAUAAAAUUCAAUACUAUUUCUUACUAACAAUGAACUUAGUUUUUGGUUAAAGGAGGGAAAAGGUCAACUUGUUCAGUAAAAACUAAAAAGAUUUGGUCAACAACGUUGGUAGUUUUGUGCGGGUUCCAGAAUGAAUUGUUAAAAAAACUAAAUUGUUAGCACAGCUGUGAUGGAGCUAUUUUAAUUUAAAAGGCAUUAUUGUUCAUUGAAAAUGAUGUUGCAGGACAAAGAAGAAUGUUUUAUCUGUUUUCAAAGGAUGAAUAUCUAAUUGUCAAAAUCUUCUUUUGAGGUCAAAUUUUGAAAAUAAUUUUAUGUGUGACAAAUUUGCAAAAAAAUGACUCCAACUGUGCCACACCAUCGCUUGAAUGGGUUCCAGAUAGAGCUUAAAAUAAUUUAUUUAAAAAAAUAGAACAUAAAUAUUUGAUAAAAUAGAACAUAAUUUAUUUAAUCUUGAUGGGUUCUGUUUUCUGGGUUGGAGCUCUUGAUUGCUUCUUGUCUUGCUUUUUGAUUUUGUAGGGUUAACGUUUGGUGGGUUGAUGAGUUUGCUUCGAGCUUUUCUGGUGGCUAUUGGGUCUUGUUGUAAGCUGUGUGCUAAGAAUGUCGUCGACUCUGUUUUUGCUUGUUGAUGAUUUCUUGCUCAAUUUGUUGAUGGGUUCCAUUCUAGGUUGACUUGUUGGUAUGGUUGUUUGGGUUGGGCUUUGUUGCUUGUUCGGCUUAGUGAUUGUUUGUUGAUUGAGUGCUUUCUGACUUUGGGUUCUGUCGAUUUGCUGUGCUUGUUUUGUCUUCUCUUUCAAUUGAUCUUAGCUGCUUGUAAUUGUCUUGUCAAAUUGUUGUUUUAUCCUUGCUGGUUAUUUUGAUGGACUCUGAUAGUGAAUUAUUGCUGUCCGGCCCUAUUCUAAUUGCCUCUUGCUUCCUUUCUUUGUGAUAACAGAUUUGAGUCCUUAUAUAAAGGAUUUAUGCAUUUUUAAUUUGGAAAAAUCAAUUUCACUAAAUUUGUGAUUUUAUUGUGAUUUUAUUUGAUUUGAUUUUUCUGUCAAUUAAUUUUCCAUGAAUCAAGCCCAAGUUUUCCUUACACAAAAGAUCUCUAAAUCUCAACAUUCAAUUUAAUCAAGACCAAAUCCAAGAUAUUUGCAAGAUCCCACAUUUUGUUCUAUUUCGUCUUUUUUUUUUUUUUUAACCUUGACUUUGAACCUUUUUUUUUACCAAAAUAUACCACAAACUAAAAAUUAAAACUAAAUUAAAGAAAGUUAAAUCUAAAUUAAAAUUAAAAUUAAAAUCAAAUUUAAUAUUGAAAUUGAAAUUGCAAUCAAAUUACAACUCAAAAUUAAAAAUUUUGGGCUUUUAUCCUAUUGGGCCUAAAGCUUUCCAACCAAGGCCCAUUCCAACUCAAAAAAAAUUUAGGAAAAAAUUGUGCAUCUACAAUUAUCUAUGAAGUUAUAUGAACAAGUUAUGUAAAGGAAAUUCAAAUUUCUAUAGAGUUUUUAUUUAUUAAAAAGCAAAAUAGAGAUGUCUCAUAAGUAUAUGGUUUUUUUUUUAUGAUUUACCCCUAAGAUAAGUCUAUGUUCAAUAAAUGAUUUUCAAAAAAGGUAUUUAUAUUUCAUAUGAGAAAUGGCCAUUUUUUUUAUAUUUUUCGCAAAAAUGAAAUUUCUCCAUUUACUACCCUUUUGAGCUUAUUAUAUUUAAAAAAAAAAAACUUUAACUAAAAAUUACCCUUAACAAUGGAGGGCAAAAUUUAAAAAAGAUUUGGUUGCAAAAAAAAAAAAAAAAAAACCCCAAAAGUUUUUAAGGAUGAAGAUUGGAAAAACCCUUAUAUUAAAAGAAAUAUGAAUGCUACAAAUGAUCUAAAGGUAAAGUAGAAAGAAUUUUUUAUGAGUAAAUUCUUUUCAAAAGAGAAAAUAAUGAAGAAAAACAAAUGUGAUGAAAUAAAAAGAUGCAAAAGAAAAAGGAAAAGGAAAUGUAAAGAAAUGAGGCAAAAUACCAAAGUGUUUUAAAUAAUGAAAUAAUCAUUUGGUUUACACCCUUUCAAACAUAUGUUUUGUGCCUAUUUUCUCUUUUUUUUCAUAACCCUUCAACUUUACUUACAUUUUAUGCCUUAAAAAUUCAUUUUGAUCAACUAUAAAUGCUUAAAAAUUAUUAAUUUUAAUUUUAAAAAACCUAUAUCUAGAUUGAUUUAAUUUUUAAUUAUAAUUUGAAUAAUUUUAUCAUUUGAAAAAAUUUAAAAUUAUCUAAUUUAUAAUUAAAAGAAGCUAUCAUACUUUUGUAAAAGGCUAUCCUACAUGUCAUUCAAAAAAAUUAUCUACAUAAGCAUCCAUAUAACAAACUUUAUGAGAUGUAUAUGUAUAUUGUAAUAUAAUAUAUAUGAUUUCUAUAGGUUUAUACAAAAUGGUUAAGAUUUGGUUGUGUUUUGGUUUCUUUUUUUAAUUAAGGUGAUAAUUUUUUAAUUUAAUUAUUUCUUUGGAUGAGGGGUUCGAAAUGCGUAAGCUUUUCUUUAUUGUGACUUUAAUUUUUGUUGUUGUGUGUACUAUAGUGAUGGAACUUGGUUGUUACGUGUAAGGAACUUUGAAGAAUGUAAGGAACUUUGAAGAACUAUUAUACUUUAGUGAAAUGACAUUCGUUACAUGUUAUCUCUGAUGAUUUUCGAGGUUAUCUACACAUAAAAAUUCUUGGGAUAAGAAUUCAAAUCAAGGUUUGAGACUAUAAAAUUACAACUACUUAUGGCAUAAUCGAUAAAAGCUAGCAAAGAAAAUUAUUAAACUAAUCAUAGAGCAUAACUAAAUAUGAUAGGAAUUUCAAGAGAAAAAAAAAUGGAAAGAAUAGAUAUACCAUGUGAAACCAACCAAAAGUAAGCUUGAUGAUAGUAGAACAUUUUACACCUCCAUUUAAUCUGUUAUCCACUACAAAUAUCAAAACAAAAGAAAAAGUUCAACUUGAUAAAACUUUAAAAUUUUAGAAAGAAUAAUACUUUUACUAAAAAUAACAAGGGAAAUUUUGUUUAAUAACAAAAAUUUGAAGAAUAAAACAUCUGCAGAGAAAGAAAAAGUUCCACAACUUUUUUGAUAAAAAAAUUAAAUAAAUUAAAUUGGUAUACAACUCUAUUAUAUUAAUUAAUCAGAGCAUCAUUUUUAUUUUAUACAAAUAGGAAAUAUUGAAUAAAUAAUCAGUUAAAAGAUAAAAUAUAUUACCUAAUUGAAUGAAUAAUCCAUGAAAAAAUAAAAGGUCUAUAGAUAACACCAGUAAAAAUAUAACAAUUUAUGUAUUUUUGUAGUUUUGUACAAUAUAUGAAAAAACAAUGUCAAAAUUAAACUAAGAAAGCUUACCUAAACCAAAUAGAAAAGAAAAAAUAAAUCCACCUUAAAUGGAAGACCUUAAAUGGAUCAGUAAUAAAAAAAUAAUGCUAAAGUUUGUGAGAAGAUGGAAUAUUGUUUGAAAAAUAAGUUGAAUAAAAAGCCAUAAAAGAAUCAAGCUAGAUAAUUUUAUUUAAUCCAUAAAUAUAUUUAAAUAAUAAUUUUAUCUAUUUAAUUAUCUUAUAUUUAAAUUGAUUUUUCAUUUAAAUUUUGUUAACUUUAAUCCAUAAAUAUAUUUAAAUAAUAAUUUUAUCCAUGGAUAACAUCUAAUCAGAUAAUAAUAUUUAAAUUUUGGUGUUUUAUACCUUUAUCUUUCAUAGAGAAAUAUCUAAUCAAAUAAUUAUUUGAUAACUCUAGACUCAAGAAAUUUCAUCAAAGUGACUAACAUGGCUUGUUAGAGUUUAAAGGUUAUAUAACACAAGUUUUCUUCUUAAUGUUAUUUAAUUGUGCAUUGCGAUUUCAUUUGCAUAAAUAAAUGAAACAAAUUUAUUUAGUUUAUUUUCUUAUUUGUUUUUAAAUGAUAAUAAAAAAAGACAUUACCUUAAAUGGGUUCUAAUUAAAUUUAUUACUAUUUGAGAAUAGAUAAAAGAAAUAUUACAACUGAUUUGAAAAAAAAAAAUCUUACCUAAUGGAGUGAAUAAUAGGUUCAAUGAAAUAGUACCUAUCAUAAAAAAAAAAACAUGUUAGUUAUUAUAGUAAGAAUAGACUAAUAAAAAACGAGAUUAAAUUAAUAGUGAAAAAAAUACGUUUAGCUCAUAUACUUCGUGGGACAUUGGAAAAAACUAUAUAACUAAGAACUAUCAACAACGAGAGCUUUUCUGAAGUUGUUUUGGUAUUUAUAUAUAUGUAUAUAUAUUUUUUUACAUUUUCUUAAAAUAUUAAUAUUAAAAGUCUAUGACAAAUAUUGAUUUAAAUUUAAAUUUUAUUUUAAUUCAGAUAUAUUUAAAUAUAUAUUUUAAAGUUAGUGGAUUAUUUAUUAAAUUAUUUUAUCUCUAACAAUAUAUUUAAAAAUUAAAAAUAAUACAAUAAUUAUUUAUAAAAAAUAUUAAAGAUAUUAAAUAAUAUUUUUAAAAAUUAUGAUAAAUUUAAAUAAUCAUAUUAAGUGCAGAUAAAUUGGAAAAGAUAAAUUACUUUAAAAUUAGUUUUAAAUUGAGAUGAGGUCAUGUAUAAGAGAAAUAAAUUUUAUUAUAAUUUAAAUUAGUUUUUGAUUAAAUUUUAAAAAGUUUAGAUAAUUUAAUAAUUUAUAAAAAAUAUUUUUAUAAAUAAUUUAAAAUUAAUAAAUAUAUUACGUGUCAUCAUAAUGAGAAGUUUUAAGAAUUAUUUUAUGUGUCAAAAAAAGAAACUGUCUACAUAAGUAUCUAUGUUAGCAAAUGCUAUAUGCUAACUAUAUAUAUUAUAAUAUAAUUUAUGUAUGUUGACACCAUUUUAUUUAUCUAUUUAUUUAUUUACUUAUUUAUUUUUAUUUUUAUUUUUAUUUUUUUUUUAUUUCCUUUUCUUUUUUUGGCAGUGGCUCUGACAGCCACUAGUAGCCGUUCUGACAGUCGAUGAUUGCCCUAAUCAUAGGUGAUCAAAAUCUCAAAAAAUAUGAGAUUUUGAUUUUCCUUUUGCUCUAUAAAUAAAGCUGUAAAAACACCAUCAGAAAAAAAAGCUUGAAACCUUCAAAAAAAAUCUGCCAAAUUAAAAAAAAAAACAACUUUCUGUCAAAUAAAAAAAUUCAAAGCAAACCAAACAUAUACAAACACAGAAACAACAGCCUUUCGAAACGAGGACCACAACGUCAAACAAAAAAUAAUACAGACACAAAAAAUUUUUUGACCGAAUCUUUUAGGUCAGAUCUGCGCCAUUUGGAGCUCAUUUUCACAAAAGCAGGCUUGGAUAUGGACUUAGAAGGCUGAGAUAAUCCAUUUUGUGAAUCUUGAAGAUUUUUCGGUGACCGACGAACGGUGGCCGGCACGGUGGAGCAGUGACCGGAUUCUGGGUUGCUAGAAAGAGAAAGAGAGAGAAAAAGGAAGAAGAAAAUAAAAAAAGCUUAUUAGGCCUUUAAAUAGCCUUUCAAAAUGACGUCGUUUAAGAAAAAGCAAAACGAUCCCGUUUCGAUCCCAGAGGAUCCGCACGUCAACUAGCAACCUGACUCGGGAUCUGCGCACCUAACCCAACGACCCGUUAUCCAUUUUGCCCUUUGACCGAUCCAAUUGAACCGACCCAGACUAGACUAGACCAAUGCCAAAUCACUAAACUCGAACCAAUAAGAUCAAAUCGGAUUGAACCGCUGAACUAGUCUAGACCCGUGUUGAUCAGACCGUUAACAAGUCCGGUUCAGGUAAAAAAAAUUUUUUUUUUGAAAUUUUUUUAUAUAUUAUUUUAAAUUUUAUUAUUAAUAUUCAUGCAUAUUAAAAUGUUUAUAUCUAUUAGAAUAAAUUUUUGUUGAAAUAAGUAAAAAUAUAUGAUAAAAUAUAUAAUAAAGUUUUUUUUUAUAAUUUUGUUAAUUUUAAAAUAAAUCUUAUAAAUUAAUAAAAAAAUGUAAAAAAAGAAAAUUUUUAUCCAACGGUUAUAUUCAAAGAUACUCCGAGUAGUGAUACCUAUGAAAUUUUUAGGUGAGAAGAUUUUUUUAAAUACUACCAGUGUAUUGGAGUAUUUAUAAAAGAUUUUUAAUAUAAUAAUUUUUUUUCUAUUAAUAAUAAAUAAAAUUAACUAAUUUACUGAAAAAUAAAGUGAUAAAGGAAUAGCAAUAAAAAAUAAGAAAAAAAAUAUUUUAUCCAAUGAUGGGAUUCUAAAAGUAUUUCGAGUGGUGAUGCUUUAUGAAAUCUUUAAGUGAGAAGGUUUUUUUAAAUAUUACCAGUGUAUUGAAAUAUUUAUAAAAAAACUUCAAUAUAAUAAAAAUUCUUCUUUUCUUCUUUUUUUAAAUGAAAAUAUUAAUAAAACAAUUAAUAAAAUUUUUAAAAAGAGAAUAAAAUGUGUGCAUCAAUAUGGUAACAUUCUGCAUUGUAUGUAUGACAUAGGUUUUUUACGAAAAGUAAAUUUGAGCCUCUAAUGAUGAGAUUUUAAGGUAUUCCGAGAAGCGAUGCCUAAGAAAUAUCCAGGUGAUAAAAGGUUCUUCUAAUGUUACCAAUGUACUAGAAUAUUUUAAGAAUUAUUUCGAUAAAAAAGUUCUAAUUUAUUUUUCUCAAAUAAAAUUUGAGCACUAAAAAAUUUUCAACAAAUGAAAAAAAUAAAAAAAAUUAUUUUUCAAACAUUGAAAAUAAAACUGUUUAUAUUAAAAUCAAUGGAUAACACAUAGUUAAUUAGUACCAUUUUAAACGGGACGUUACGGGGGUGCUAAUCCUUCCCCUCACAUAACCGACUCUCGAACCCAGACCGUUAUACAGACCCUAAAAUUAUUCUCUUAAUAAAUUUUAAUUAAUUUUAAGAUUUUAUUAAAAUGAUAUAUUUUAAUAAGUGGCCAAUCGCACCAGCCAAAAAAGAUUGGUGGCGACUCUGUUAUUUUUUAUUUCAUUUCUAAAUUCGUCAGGCGGACACAAAAUCGUUACGACAAUAUAUAUUAUGAUUUAUUUAAAAAGAUAAUAAAUUUAAAUUUAAAUUUGUUACAAACAAUUUAAAAAUUAUUUACAUAGUGAUAUACAAAUAAACAAAUUUAUUGAAUAAUUUUUUAUAAGUAAAAAAAAUUUCAAAAGAUAAUGUAUUAUCACAUUUGAAAAUCUUAAAUUUUAAAAAUAUAUUUCUAGAUUAUUCAAAAAUUCAUUUAAUUUAAAAAAAAAUAAUGUAUCUAAAUUAUAUCUUAUUGUCAAUAAUUUAGAAGUUUUCUAAUAUAAAUAUUCAAGUAAGCAAAUUUUUGUAGUAAUUUUUGACUUGUUAAAUAAUAAAAUUAUUUAUACAAACAUCCAUAUAAACAGUAUUUAAUUGAUAUUUUUGCAUUUUGUAAUAUAAUAUAAUAUUUUAUAUAUAUAUAUAUAUGUAUAUAUGUAUGAUUUGAUGCCUGAUUGUGUAUUUAAAAAAACCUACUAUAAAUAGUCUCAAAUAUUCUAAUCUAUCUUCAACCAGCCCUAGAACUGGAUUACAGCAUCAGAUCCUUUCAAUUUAUUGGAAGAAAAAUUUAUAAAAAAAAAAAAAAAGGGAUGCAGAUCUUUGUGAAGACGCUUACUGGGAAGACUAUUACUCUCGAGGUUGAGAGCUCUGAUACUAUCGAUAAUGUCAAGGCCAAGAUUCAGGUUUUUCUUUUUGCCCUCUUCGUUUUUCAUUUUGCUAUUUUUUAUCUGGGUUUUGUUUGUGAAGGAAGUUGACUUCUUGUUUGAUGGAUUAGAAAAGGAAGGAAACGAUAAAGGAAAACAACUAUGAAUAUGUGUGAAGGGAAACUGCAGUGACGGUUUACGAAUUGAUUUUCUUGGUUUCUUUAUCUAAAUAUUGUACUGUAGAAUUCUUGGUUGACUUUCUGUUUGGUUGACGAGAAAAGUACAGAAAGGAAAAAUAAAGUUUAAAGAAAAAGAAUUCGAACUUAAAUUAUUCGAUGGGUAUAUGACAAAUAUAUUUUUAUUAAUUUUUGGGUUCCUUUUUAUGCUAAAAUUUUGAAAUUAAUAGUGCUUAAAUUAUGCUGUGUCGUUCCAAGUUUGGAGAAAUUGGUUAGAUGCUGUGAAGCCUGAAUUGAAAAUUUCUAGGAUUGGAAAUACUUUGAAUUCUGAAGUUUCCAUUGUAAAAAAUUUACUCAGAUUUUGUCUAAGACGAAAUUAAAUGGUUGCAAAAAUUGUGAUGGUCACCCAUGAUUAUUGUAUGAUUCAGUCUAAUGAUAAUAAAAUUGUCAAGAAUUACUCCAAUUUGUUUUUGUUUAUUUUUGUCCGGUACAUUGGAGGUCGUAGCCUGGAAUAGCGGAAUGGGUUGUAGGAGUUGGGAUUCAAACUUUAGAUCUACUGAAUAUUACCUCUUAAAAAUGAUUUAAUGAAUUAACUGAGCUAAACACUAGGUCUAUUUGUGCUUUGUUUACUUUCUUAUUUGUACUACAUGGAAAAGCUUGAGGGGGGUUGUGUCAGACUGCCUUUUCUUUCUCUUCCUGUAAUUAAACGUUUGCUGAUGGUGGACUAAACUUUUACAGGACAAGGAAGGAAUACCUCCUGAUCAGCAGAGAUUGAUUUUUGCCGGCAAACAGCUUGAAGAUGGUCGAACUCUGGCAGAUUAUAACAUCCAAAAGGAGUCUACUCUUCACUUGGUUUUGAGGCUUAGGGGAGGGACUAUGAUCAAGGUCAAGACUCUCACUGGGAAAGAAAUUGAGAUUGAUAUCGAACCCACUGAUACCAUUGAUCGGAUUAAGGAACGUGUUGAAGAGAAAGAAGGAAUUCCACCUGUGCAGCAAAGGUAUUUCUACUGUUUUUUGGGUUUUUUCUUUUGAAAUGGACUUGUCUAUGUUGCAUGAUUAACAAACUAACUCCUUUUACAUUAUUAUUUUGGUUUGUGUUAAUGCCAUGAAUGCUCCUAAAUUAUAGUGAAAUGUUUAAUGUGUUACUUGAAUUUUAAAAAUCUCUAAUGCGGUACUUAAACUAUGAAUCUAUUAACUAAUGUGGUACUCACCCCUAAUGUGACUAACUUCAAAUGAUGACAUAAGGCGUAUAAACAAUCCUUCAAGUACCACAUUAGUUAACAAAUUCAUAAUUCAAGUAUCACAUUAGAGAUGUUUAAAGUUCAUUAUCACAUUAAAUAUUUCAGUAUAGUUUAGGGAUUAUUCGUGACAUUAUCCCUUUUAGUUUAAAUUCUGUACAAUAUUCUCCCUGAAUGAUGCCAUUUGAGUAUAAAAUACUUGGCUUUAAUGGUUCACUUUUGUAAUUGUUGACACUUGAUGGAUCCAAUGUAUAAUCUUUUAGUUGCCUUGAUUUUGUGAUGCCUUAUUUCACUGAUUUGUGCCAUGGUUGCAGGCUCAUCUAUGCUGGGAAGCAGCUUGGAGAUGACAAGACGGCUCGUGAGUACAACAUUGAGGGUGGCUCUGUACUUCAUCUUGUGCUCGCACUUAGAGGGGGAAGUCUUUAGAUGCUCUGCUACUAUUAUCAAAAACAUCGGCUUAAAUCAAAUGUUUUACAUAAUAUGGAUGACUCUGCAUGUGAUAUGUGGAUGAUUGAAAAGCAUUAUCUGAUAAUUUCCUUGAGAUGUUAUAGACUUGUUCUGUUCUGUUAGUAAUUAUGUGACUAUGAGGAAGUUUAAUAGUCUAAAUCUUUUUUCCCCUCAAGAUAAAUUGUGCUUCUGCUUUCAAACCGGGUACUUUUGAGACAACCAAAAGGAAUAACAACUGGCUAUGAUUAAUUAAAUUGAUUAUUAUUAUUUUUGUUUAAACAUUUUGUUCAUAUAUUUUCAUAUACAUGUAAUACUUUUGUUACUUAAAAUUUUUAUAAUUUAUUAUAUUAUUAGAGAUCAUGUAUGUUUGUUUUGGUGUCACUAAAGUAUACGAGCAGAAUUCUUUUAAGUAGGGCUGAAAAUUGGUAAAAUCGUUAGGAGUUUAGAGGGUAUAGGAAUCCAUGGUCAAUUUAACUCAAAUCUUUUUG
rnacentral:lncRNA from 1 species